UUGAGCGGAGAUAUAUGGAGCUUGCUUUAUAUAACUUAGCAGCGAACGGGUGAGUAACACGUAGAUAAUCUAUCCUAUACUGGGGGAUAGCCCGAUGAAAGUUGGAUUAAUACCGCAUAUAGCUAUAUAGUUGCAUGAUUAUGUAGUGAAAGAUUUAUUGGUAUAGGAGGAGUCUGCGGCACAUUAGCUAGUAGGUGAGGUAAAGGCUUACCUAGGCGACGAUGUGUAGCCGGUCUGAGAGGAUGAACGGCCACAAUGGAACUGAGACACGGUCCAUACUCCUACGGGAGGCAGCAGUGGGGAAUAUUGCACAAUGGGGGAAACCCUGAUGCAGCAACGCCGCGUGAGUGAAGAAGGUUUUCGGAUUGUAAAGCUCUGUUAGCAGGGAAGAGGAAGGACGGUACCUGCAGAGGAAGCCACGGCUAACUACGUGCCAGCAGCCGCGGUAAUACGUAGGUGGCAAGCGUUGUUCGGAAUAACUGGGCGUAAAGGAUGCGUAGGCGGUUAAACAAGUUAUAUGUUAAAUAUAUAGGCUUAACCUGUAGAAAGCAUAUAAAACUGUUUAACUAGAGUGCAGGAGAGGUAAGUGGAAUUCCUAGUGUAGCGGUGAAAUGCGUAGAGAUUAGGAAGAACACCAGUGGCGAAGGCGACUUACUGGACUGUAACUGACGCUGAGGCAUGAGAGCAUGGGGAGCAAACAGGAUUAGAUACCCUGGUAGUCCAUGCUGUAAACGAUGGGUACUAGGUGUGGGUUGUGAAUAACAAUUCGUGCCGUCGCAAACGCAAUAAGUACCCCG
rnacentral:rRNA from 1 species